GACGAACGCUGGCGGCGUGCUUAACACAUGCAAGUCGAACGGAAAGGCCCUGCUUUUGUGGGGUGCUCGAGUGGCGAACGUGUGAGUAACACGUGAGUAACCUGCCCUGGACUUUGGGAUAACUUCAGGAAACUGGGGCUAAUACCGGAUAGGAGCUCCUGCUGCAUGGUGGGGGUUGGAAAGUUUCGGCGGUUGGGGAUGGACUCGCGGCUUAUCAGCUUGUUGGUGGGGUAGUGGCUUACCAAGGCUUUGGCGGGUAGCCGGCCUGAGAGGGUGAACGGCCACAUUGGGACUGAGAUACGGCCCAGACUCCUACGGGAGGCAGCAGUGGGGAAUAUUGCACAAUGGGCGGAAGCCUGAUGCAGAAACGCCGCGUGCGGGAUGACGGCCUUCGGGUUGUAAACCGCUUUCGCCUGUGACGAAGCGUGAGUGACGGUAAUGGGUAAAGAAGCACCGGCUAACUACGUG
rnacentral:rRNA from 1 species